rnacentral:rRNA from 1 species
UACGAAGGGGGCUAGCGUUGCUCGGAAUCACUGGGCGUAAAGGGCGCGUAGGCGGAUCUUUAAGUCGGGGGUGAAAGCCCAGGGCUCAACCCUGGAAUUGCCUCCGAUACUGGGGAUCUCGAGACCGGAAGAGGUGAGUGGAACUGCGAGUGUAGAGGUGAAAUUCGUAGAUAUUCGCAAGAACACCAGUGGCGAAGGCGGCUCACUGGUCCGGAUCUGACGCUGAGGCG